rnacentral:rRNA from 1 species
CCUACGGGAGGCAGCAGUAGGGAAUUUUCGUCAAUGGGCGCAAGCCUGAACGAGCAAUGCCGCGUGAACGAGGAAGGUCUUCGGAUCGUAAAGUUCUGUUGAAGGGGAAAAAGAGCGGAGAGAGGAAAUGGUCUCCGAUUGAUAUUACCCUUCGAGGAAGUCACGGCUAACUACGUGCCAGCAGCCGCGGUAAUACGUAGGUGGCGAGCGUUAUCCGGAAUGAUUGGGCGAAAAGGGUGCGUAGGCGGCCUGCUAAGUCUGGUGUGAAAGGUACCGGUUCAACCGGUACAGGCUCUGGAAACUGGCGGGCUAGAGAGCAGGAGAGGGCGGUGGAACUCCAUGUGGAGCGGUAAAAUGCGUAGAUAUAUGGAAGAACACCAGUGGCGAAGGCGGGCGCCUGGCCUGUUACUGACGCUGAGGCACGAAAGCGUGGGGAGCAAAUAGGAUUAGAUACCCGUGUAGUC